CAGAGGGUGCGGGGAGUGCAGAGCAGGAGGGAGAUGGUUUCAGGAUGAUUCAAACCCAUUACAUUUAUUGUGCACUUCUUAUUAUACUGUAAUAUAUAAUGAAACAAUUAUACAACUCACCAUAACAGAGAUUCAGUGGGAGCCCUGAGCUUGUUUUCCUGCAGCUAGACAGUCCCUCUGGGAGUGAUGGGAGACACUGACAGAUCAUCAGGCAUUAGAUUCUCAUAAGGAGUUGGUACCACCUAG